rnacentral:rRNA from 1 species
CGGAAGUAGUGGCCAGCAGGCGCGGUAAAGCGUAGGAGGCAAGCGUUAUCCGGAUGUGCGGGGCGUACAGCGCAGGCGGGAGGCGGCUGAAGUCGGACUGGAAAGCGCCGGGCUCAAAUGGGAGAGGUCGUUCGGAACUGCGCGGCUUGAGGUUGGAAGAGGAGAGCGGAAUUCCCGGUGUAGUGGUGGAAUGCGUAGAUAUCGGGAGGAACACCAGUGGCGAAAGCGGCUCUCUGGUCCACACCUGACGCUCAGGUGCGAAAGCGUGGGUAGCGAACGGGAUUAGAUACCCUGGUAGUC